ensembl:lncRNA
GAAGAAAGCUGAGCGCUGAAGAAUUGAUGCUUUUGAACUGUGGUGUUGGAGAAGACUCUUGAGAGUCCCUUGGACUGCAAGGAGAUCCAACCAGUCCAUUCUGAAGAUCAGCCCUGGGUGUUCUUUGGAAGGAAUGAUGCUAAAGCUGAAACUCCAGUACUUUGGCCACCUCAUGUGAAGAGUUGACUCAUUGGCAAAGACUCUGAUGCUGGGAGGGAUUGGGGGCAAGAGGAGAAGGGGACGACAGAGGAUGAGAUUGCUGGAUGGCAUCACUGACUCGAUGGACGUGAGUCUGAGUGAACUCCGGGAGUUGGUGUUGGACAGGGAGGCCUGGCGUGCUGCGAUUCAUGGGAUUGCAAAGAGUCGGACACGACUGAGCGACUGAACUGAACUGAACAGAACCUUUUGUUGGUUAUACAUGUUGCAAAUAUGUUCUUUCAAUGUGUAUCAUGUAUUUUUACUUUAGUUAUAGUAUAUUUUAAGGAACAGAAGUUUUCAGUGUCAAAGAUUUUCAAUCCAUCCUUUUAUGAUGAGCAUAGAAUUAGGAAAUAAGAAAGGUGUUAUAGUCUGUAUUAAUUGCUGUUAUUUCCUGUGCUCAGGAUCUUUUGCUGGUCCCAUGAAGAAUUUAGUAUGAUCUUUACUAUGAAAAAUUCUGAUUGUCAGAAUAGUUCAUUCCACAUUUCUCGAGAUUUUGAUGAUUCAGAGGAAAAGAGAUUGGGUAAAUCUGUUGGUAACUGAUAUACCAAGUUCACUUAAAGAAAGCUUGAAGUCUUCUUGGGAUCAUAGGGAAGGUGAGAAAGAAAAUGAAAGGAUGAGAGUGUCUCUUUUACAUUGUUUUGAAAGUUCAAGGAAGUGAUUAACCAUAGAAUCCUAUAGCAAAUUCCAUAGACAAUGGGAAAAAACAACUCAUCAAGAUUGUACUUCCCUGAUUCUCUUACAUGACUUCUCUGAGCUACUCCCUCCGGGCGGAACCCCACAGCUUUCAUUUUUCGUGAGAAGUGACAGUAUGGCGAUCCAUUCAGUGUCACAGCAAUCCAAGUCUGUACCCCAACUACUAAUGCUGAAGAAGAUGAAGAUCUUCUAAAAGAUGUACCAAACCUUCUAGAA